GUAGUGGGCCGGGUGGCCGCUCGCGCUAUCGGCUGCGGGAGGAAAGUCCGGACUCCAAAGGGCAAGGUGCUGGGUAACGCCCAGGCGGAGCAAUCCGACAUGAGCGCCACAGAAAAGAUACCGCCGACGCUCAGGGGAUACUCUGAGUCGGUAAGGGUGAAAUGGUGGGGUAAGAGCCUACCGCAUCUGUGGUGACACAGAUGGCAGGGUAAGCAUCACCUGGAGCAAAACCAAAUAGGGGGACGCUGCCUGAUAGUUUUGUGGUAACUUCAAAAGUAUCGGGGGAGAGGCUGGCCCGGUCGACGUUCCCGGGUAGGUUGCUUGAAGCCCAUGGUAACGUGGGUUCCAGAGAAAUGGUCAUCGUCCGAGGGGAGACAUCCCAUCGGAUACAGAAUCCGGCUUACAGGCCCACUCGCCAC
rnacentral:RNase_P_RNA from 1 species